AGAGUUUUUUUUUGUUCUCGGGGGAGCGCAGGGGACGAUCAGGACAUAGAGGAGGAUCGAGCAGGUUACAUCUGUCGACGAUUGAAGAUCACCAGGAACAGGCCUAUCUUCUGAGGGACCAAACUACUGUUUUGUGGAGCUACUUUCUCUUGGGGUUAUGCUACCUAGGCUAGGUAACCAGUUGCAGGUACAGUAGUUGGAAGAAAUCAUAAGUCAUGGCAUCAAGAGGAAAAACAGAAACCGAUCGUCUGCAGCAGAACCUGGAGGAGCAGUUGGAUAGGUUGAUGGCACAACUACAAGACUUAGAAGAAUGCAAAGAGGAAUUAGAUGAGGACGAGUAUGAGGAAACAAAACAAGAAACAAUUGAACAAUUGAAGGAGUUUAAGGAGAGUUUAAACAAGAUGGCAGAGGGCAAUAUGACUCUAGUGGACAACAUCAAUGGCAUUCAAUUGGCAAUUCAAGCAGCCAUCAGUCAAGCUUUCAAGACCCCGGAGGUCAUCAAACUUUUUGCUAAGAAACAGCCAGGUCAACUACGGCAACGUUUAGCUGAGAUUGAUCGUGAUGUGAAAAUAGGUAAAUUACCUUCAGAAAUCCAUGUACAGCAGAAACUUGAAAUACUCACGGCACUCAAGAAACUCGGUGACAAGCUACAACCUCCUGAAAUAGCGUUUCUAGCGUCAAAUUCCAGCCAAGCAAUGUCUGAUUUUGAAAAAGUUACAAGUGAUCUAGCGUCAGAAGACAAAUUGUUUUGAAAAGACGAUGCAAUAAUUACUACCAAAUUUGGACAGUUAAGUUUGACUAAUGAGAUUGAAGUAUUCACAGGUUUCAUUCCAUUAUGGGAACAGUGGCUUAUCUAGAAGUCUUGAAAUGGGGGUGCUGAUGGGGGGAGGGGCGCUAAGGUGAAGUAGGGGCUGUAUGAUAAGUUAAAAGGGGCGCUAACUCGCAAAAUAACGUGAUUUUUAACUGCUUGCAAGUGAUUUUGGGGGGGGGGCGCAAGUUAUUUUUUGAGGGGAGUGUUCCCCACCCCCGCGCACACCCCAUAGAUACGCCACUGUAAGGGAACUGUUGAUCAUGAUUUACCUCAUAUAAUAAUGGAAUUUCCCCCUUACUAUAUUUUUAGGGAAAUUGUAUCUUUGCCACUACAUUAGUUAUAUUUAAAUUAUGUGAAACUGUAGUUCAAUCUAUUCCCUUAUGGGAUGUUUGUAAUUAGUAACUAAGGUAUUGGUUUCGGCUUCUUUCAAUACUAGUUUUUGUUAGAUGAUUUCAUUAAUUCCAAUUAAGUGCUAUUUACUUACAUUUUUAAUAUCUUUUGUUUUUGCAUGUUUUUGAAAAUUAAUUCUCUGGAAUAAAUAUUGAUUUUAUUUUAUAAUCUAUUGUAAUGUUUGUGUAUGUAUAACUAUCAUAAUUAUUAUAGUACUGUAUAACAUAUUGGUAAUAGGUCCAAUGCAAUACGUUUGUUCCUCUAGACGAGGUUUUAUUUCUGAAUACAACAUAGGCCGACAGCCUACUUUAUGUACAUUUUAUAAAACAUAUGAUCCAUUUGUGUUGCCAAAUGUUUUUUUCCCAUCUUGUAAGCAAAUAAACAUAACAUGCUCCUUGUUUUGACUAAACUAAAUACCAGACACUAAUAAAUUAAAUUUAUCUACAUAGGAAAGUACAGCAGAAUUUAAAAAUAACAUUUGUGAGCUGGAUCUGGAGUUACUCCAAAGAAACAGAUACCCACAUCAGUUUUAUUGAACUGACUCCUGUUUCAAUUUCAACUGUUUGCAAAAUGUCGGUGCUAACCAUUAUAUUAUGUGGCAAUACGUUCCCGUGAGGUAUCAACCACGGGAAGAAGCUAGUGGCAUAAGUCGUUUUAACGCGUAUAUGCAUAUGUAUGGAGAGACUUUUUUAUAGCUUGUUUAGUAAACCCAUCUGCCGUCGCCCGCCACCACGAGAAAAAAAA